CAAAAUUGCCAACUCCCCUAACCAUUGUGACCUUACCUUUAACCGUUGCUUCGGCGGGCGGCGCUCUGCCUUUCCCUCGGCCCUGCCUGGGCGCCCGCCGGAGGAUACCCAACUCUUGAUUCUUGAUGGCCUCUCUGAGUCUUCUGUACUGAAUAAGUCAAAACUUUCAACAACGGAUCUCUUGGUUCUGGCAUCGAUGAAGAACGCAGCGAAAUGCGAUAAGUAAUGUGAAUUGCAGAAUUCAGUGAAUCAUCGAAUCUUUGAACGCACAUUGCGCCCGCCAGUAUUCUGGCGGGCAUGCCUGUUCGAGCGUCAUUUCAACCAUCAAGCCCACGGCUUGUGUUGGGGACCUGCGGCUGCCCGCAGGCCCUGAAAACCAGUGGCGGGCUCGCUGUCACACCGAGCGUAGUAGCAUCAUUCUCGCUCAGGGCGUGCUGCGGGUUCCGGCCGUUAAACGACCUUCAUAACCCAAGGUUUGACCUCGGAUCAGGUAGGAAGACCCCGCUGAACUUAAGCAUAUCAAUAAGCGGAGGAAGUG
rnacentral:rRNA from 1 species